rnacentral:rRNA from 1 species
GACGAACGCUGGCGGCGUGCUUAACACAUGCAAGUCGAGCGGUAAGGCCCUUUCGGGGGUACGACGAGCGGCGAACGGGUGAGUAACACGUGGGUGACCUCGCCCUCCAGCUCUGGGAGUAAGCCUGGGAAACGUGGGUCUAAUACUGGAUAUGACUCCACGGUGCAUGUCGGUGGGGUAGGAAAGCCUUGUGCGGCUGAGGA